rnacentral:rRNA from 1 species
UAACGCGUGAGGAACCUGCCUCAAAGAGGGGGACAACAGUUGGAAACGACUGCUAAUACCGCAUAAGCCCACAGCUCGGCAUCGAGCAGAGGGAAAAGGAGUGAUCCGCUUUGAGAUGGCCUCGCGUCCGAUUAGCUAGUUGGUGAGGUAUGGCCCACCAAGGCGACGAUCGGUAGCCGGACUGAGAGGUUGAACGGCCACAUUGGGACUGAGACACGGCCCAG